CGACGGGUGAGUACACGUGGGAAAUCUGCCCUGCACUCUGGGACAAGCCUUGGAAACGAGGUCUAAUACCGGAUAUGACCUGUCCUCGCAUGGGGACGGGUGUAAAGCUCCGGCGGUGCAGGAUGAUCCCGCGGCCUAUCAGCUUGUUGGUGGGGUAAUGGCCUACCAAGGCGACGACGGGUAGCCGGCCUGAGAGGGCGACCGGCCACACUGGGACUGAGACACGGCCCAGACUCCUACGGGAGGCAGCAGUGGGGAAUAUUGCACAAUGGGCGAAAGCCUGAUGCAGCGACGCCGCGUGAGGGAUGACGGCCUUCGGGUUGUAAACCUCUUUCAGCAGGGAAGAAGCGCAAGUGACGGUACCUGCAGAAGAAGCACCGGCUAACUACGUGCCAGCAGCCGGGGGUUAAUACG
rnacentral:rRNA from 1 species